GCCGGCUUCCGGCCCGGCGAGGUUUGAGCGCGUCCGCGGGCUGGGAGGCCGCUGGACCCGGGCGCAUGGCCUCCCCCGGGCAGUUAUCUCCUUGCCGCGACCUUGAGGUCUUCGACCGUGUGCUGUCCUGGAGCCAGUGAAACCAGACGAAAUUAAGGGAACAGCAGACGAAGGAACUGCCACCGUGCCCCAGACCCUGGUUUGCAAAUACAGUUCGACAAAGAUCUUGCCAGGAAUUGGCCUGGGAGAGUCCAAAGGACUGGGCUGGGGGUGGGGAAAUGAUUUUAGCCAGAAGACAAAUAUAGAGGUUGUACCCAGAAGGUUAAGAGGCUUAGGAAGGUUAAGAACUACGUUAACAUUUGGCUCCCAGGACCCCAGGUAAAGUGCCCUUGGAUUGAAUAGAUUUCUGAACUCCAGAAACAUUUAGAGGAAUCAAUAGAAUUAGAUUGGCAGCCAUUGUGCCAAUGGACAAGUGCUUACUGAGCCCCUUAAUCCCUUCACUGGGUAAGCAUUUGCCACACAUGUCCUCAAAAACCUACUUGUUAGCUUAAGUGGACUCCCUCAAGUUCAGAACAGGAGCAAAUAGUGUAAUCACAAGUUCCGUGUCUGAAUAAUCAUAACAAUGUUUAUAAAAAUAAGGACGACUGUUGAAAACUGCAACUGCAGCUGAACCUUAUGUGCCCAGACUUCAGAAUUCCCAUAGGCAAAAUGCCAGCAGGCCUUUGCACACUGAACACAUAGUGUUCAUAUCCUUCACUUUCCUUUCCUGCCCUCUCCUAUCUUCUCCAGAUCUGCCUGUGAAAGGACCCAAUUCUAGGACCCCCCAGGAUGGUUAGGCCCUUCCUCUGAAAGUACACUUUGCAAUUUGUUAGUCUCCUCAAGAACCCCAGCGAUCGAAACUGAUGCACACAAAUUGCAUGUGUUCAAAGGAGCAAUUUUGAAUCUAGCUUUGUUGAUCCUGGGAGAAAUCUUUGACCUGUGUUAGUGAAAGGCUAUGGUGUUUCUCAGCUGAUUAUAAUAGCGAGGUAGCUGAAUGCAAAAAAACAGUUUCAGAGAAUGGUAGAGUAUAUCCUCCAAAGGUGAUACUCGCUUCUCUAUUCUGGUGAGAGAAACAAGAGCUAAAGCAAAAUUCUACAGAGGGCUUUAUUUGGAGAGAGGUGGAUUUUAUUUAUAAUGCAUUUAAAAUUCAAAAUCUUUCUAGUUUGAACUCUUGACAUUCUGAUUAAUGCAUUUUUAUUCAACUGUUAAUUAUUCCUCGAUACACCUCGCCAUCACUUGUGUAUCCCUUUUCUACAUGUGACCUUUCCCUGGCCACAUCUGCUACUCUCUUUGAGCAUGAUGCCUCUACUGUAUUCUAUUCCAGAGCUCAUUGUUUUGUCAGUUUUUUUUCUCUCCACAAAAAAAGAUGAUCAAAUAAUUACAUAGAAUUUUUCCCUUCUCAGUCUUUGGGUAACUAAGUGUGGUUUUAUUGACGAUGAAAUACAAGAUGGGUCAUUUAAAAGCAACUUCUUGUCAUCACUUGGUAUUUUGCUAAAUCCACGGUGAGCUGGAGCUCCCGUAGUCACCUAUCACCGCGUGUAUUUUAAGGAGUCAGAUAUUCUCGAAACUGUUAAGAUCAUGAAAGACAAAGAGACUAAGGAACUGUCACAGAUUAAAGGAGACUAAAGAUACUUGACAACUGAAUGUAAUAUAUGACACUCAACCGGCUCCUGUACCAGAAAAAGGACAUUGGUUAUAUUGGUGAGGUUUGAAUAUCUGUAGAUUACCAAUACUAUUCUUGGUUAUGGUGGUUAUGUA
ensembl:lncRNA SLC25A5-AS1 SLC25A5 antisense RNA 1